rnacentral:rRNA from 1 species
GACGAACGCUGGCGGCGCGCUUAACACAUGCAAGUCGAGCGAGAACCUGGGCUUCGGCCCUGGGGACAGCGGCGAACGGGUGAGUAACACGUGGGUAAUCUGCCCUUGACAUCGGGAUAGCCCGGGGAAACCCGGAUUAAUACCGAAUAGCCUCCGGAGCCUUCGGGCGCCGGAGAAAAGGUAGCUUCGGCCUCUGGUCGAGGAUGAGCCCGCGGCGGAUUAGCUUGUUGGCGGGGUAACGGCCCACCAAGGCGACGAUCCGUAGCUGGUCUGAGAGGACGAGCAGCCACACUGGGACUGGGACACGGCCCAGACUCCUACGGGAGGCAGCAGUGGGGAAUCUUGCGCCAAUGCGGGAAACCGUGACGCAGCGACGCCGCGUGGGGGAAGAAGGCCUUCGGGUUGUAAACCUCUUUCAGGAGGGACGAAGCCACUCGGGUGAAUAGCCCAGAGGGUGACGGUACCUCCAGAAGAAGCCCCGGCUAACUACGUGCCAGCCGCCGCGGUAA